rnacentral:rRNA from 1 species
GCAGGCUCGCGCUUGAAUACAUUAGCAUGGAAUAAUGAAAUAGGACGUUUGAUUCUAUUUUGUUGGUUUCUAGGAUCGACGUAAUGAUUAAUAGGGAUAGUUGGGGGCAUUAGUAUUCAAUUGUCAGAGGUGAAAUUCUUGGAUUUAUUGAAGACUAACUACUGCGAAAGCAUAUGCCAAGGAUGUUUUCAUUAAUCAAGAACGAAAGUUAGGGGAUCGAAGACGAUCAGAUACCGUCGUAGUCUUAACCAUAAACUAUGCCGACUAGGGAUCGGAUGAUGUUAAUUUUUUAAUGACUCGUUUGGCGCCUUACGGGAAACCAAAGUGUUUGGGUUCCGGGGGGAGUAUGGUCGCAAGGCUGAAACUUAAAGGAAUUGACGGAAGGGCACCACCAGGGGUGGAGCCUGCG